UAAAAUCAUAUGAGGCUUAUAUUAAUUUUCAUAAUUUUUUACAGAACACUUAUUGACCUUCCAUGGAACCGGUGUUCUGAGGAACAUAGUUUGGGAAAUGUUGGUAUAGAGUAUGUUCCUACAUAUGUAUGUUUUGACUUAAGGUCUGAAAUAAGGUUUCACGGACUGAUCCAUUUGCUCAAGUCAGAGAUUAUCUGUAUAUCAUCAAAUAACAUUAUACUGUUUGGUAAAAUUUAUAAUUAGAAGUCAUAUUAUUUUCUAUUGUUAGAUAAGAUAAUCAGCAUUAUAGUAAGAGAAAUGAAAACUUAAUCAUUGUUUUCUUUAUUUGUUAAUUUCCUCCCAGUAGACG
rnacentral:lncRNA from 1 species